rnacentral:rRNA from 1 species
UCAACCGAGAUUCCGCAAGUAGUGGCGAGCGAACGCGGAAAAGCCUGUAUAUGAUAAUGGUUAAGAUAGAAGAAGGGAUUGGAAACUUCCGCCAUAGUGGGUGAUAGCCCCGUAUUUGAAAUCUUAACCAUGGUACUAAGUAUACGAGAAGUAGGGCGGGACACGUGAAAUCCUGUCUGAAUAUGGGGGGACCAUCCUCUAAGGCUAAAUACUCAUCAUCGACCGAUAGUGAACCAGUACCGUGAGGGAAAGGCGAAAAGAACCCCGGAAGGGGAGUGAAAUAGAACCUGAAACCUGAUGCAUACAUACAGUGGGAGCAUCUUUGUGGUGUGACUGCGUACCUUUUGUAUAAUGGGUCAACGACUUACAUUCAGUAGCGAGCUUAACCGAGUAGGGGAGGCGUAGGGAAACCGAGUCUUAAUAGGGCGACUAGUUGCUGGGUGUAGACCCGAAACCGAGUGAUCUAUCCAUGGCCAGGAUGAAGGUGCGGUAAAACGCAUUGGAGGUCCGAACCCACGCAUGUUGCAAAAUGCGGGGAUGAGCUGUGGAUAGGGGUGAAAGGCUAAACAAACUCGGAGAUAGCUGGUUCUCCCCGAAAACUAUUUAGGUAGUGCCUCGAGUAUGAGACUGAUGGGGGUAAAGCACUGUUAUGGCUAGGGGGUUAUUGCAACUUACCAACCCAUGGCAAACUAAGAAUACCAUCAAGUUGCUCCUCGGGAGACAGACAUCGGGUGCUAACGUCCGGUGUCAAGAGGGAAACAACCCAGACCGCCAGCUAAGGUCCCAAAUGAUAGAUUAAGUGGUAAACGAAGUGGGAAGGCACAGACAGCCAGGAUGUUGGCUUAGAAGCAGCCAUCAUUUAAAGAAAGCGUAAUAGCUCACUGGUCGAGUCUUCCUGCGCGGAAGAUGUAACGGGGCUCAAAUCUAUAACCGAAGCUGCGGAUAUACUUUUGUAUAUGGUAGGGGAGCGUUCUGUAAGCCUGUGAAGGUGACUUGUAAAGGUUGCUGGAGGUAUCAGAAGUGCGAAUGUUGACAUGAGUAGCGAUAAAGUGGGUGAAAAGCCCGCUCGCCGAAAGCCCAAGGUUUCCUACGCAAC